rnacentral:rRNA from 1 species
UACGUAGGGGGCAAGCGUUGUUCGGAUUCAUUGGGCGUAAAGGGUGCGUAGGCGGCGCUGUAAGUCGGGUGUGAAAUUUCGGAGCUUAACUCCGAAACUGCAUUCGAUACUGCGGUGCUCGAGGACUGGAGAGGAGACUGGAAUUCAUGGUGUAGCAGUGAAAUGCGUAGAGAUCAUGAGGAAGACCAGUGGCGAAGGCGGGUCUCUGGACAGUUCCUGACACUGAGGCACGAAGGCCAGGGGAGCAAACGGG